rnacentral:rRNA from 1 species
GGCCUUCGGACUGGCUUAGGGAGGUUGGCAACGACCACCCCGAGCCGGAAAGUUGGUCAAACUUAGUCAUUUAGAGGAAGUAAAAGUCGUAACAAGGUUUCCGUAGGUGAACCUGCGGAAGGAUCAUUACAUGCCGUGCUUUGCGCGGGAUCCCGGGGCAGCUUGCUCUGCACCCGGGGCUAUCACCCUUUGUCUACGAAAACCCACCGUUUCCUCGGCAGGCUUGCCUGCCAACGGGGACCUUCAUCAAACCUUUUUUGUAUUGAGCAGUUGCAUCUUAAAAAAAAAAAAGCAAAUCGUUUUACAACUUUCAACAAUGGAUCUCUUGGCUCUGGCAUCGAUGAAGAACGCAGCGAAAUGCGGUAAGUAGUGUGAAUUGCAGAAUUCAGUGAAUCAUCGAAUCUUUGAACGCACAUUGCGCCCUUUGGUAUUCCAUUGGGCAUGCCUGUUCGAGCGUCAUUUCAAACCUCAAGCACUGCUUGGUGUUGGGCGUCUGUCCCGCCGCUUCGCGCGUGGACUCGCCUCAAAGCCAUUGGCGGCCGGCAUCCUCGACAUUCCGCACGCAGCAGACCGCGCGAAAGGAAUUCCAGGAGCCUGGCGUCCAGAAGCUCUCUCCCCCAAGUUUGACCUCGGAUCAGGUAGGGAUACCCGCUGAACUUAAGCAUAUCAAUAAGCGGAGGAAAAGAAACCAACAGGGAUUGCCUUAGUAACGGCGAGUGAAGCGGCAACAGCUCAAAUUUGAAAUCUGGCUCCCUCGGGGGUCCGAGUUGUAAUUUGCAGAGGGUGCUUUGGCGUCGAGCGCGGUCUAAGUUCCUUGG